rnacentral:sRNA from 1 species
AUUAAAAUAUCAAACACGGCAGCACGGACGGGAUACACAGUACGGCAACAGGGAUAUUUACUAUAGUAACAUACAGCACGGUAACACGUAUAUUUGAUAUACAGCACGGCAAAACGGAUACUUCAUAUACAGCACGGCAAAACGGAUACUUCAUAUACAGCACGGUAACACGGAUACUUCAUAUACAGCACGGUAACACGUAAAUUUUAUAUACAGCACGGCAAAACGGAUACCUCAUAUACAGCACGGUAACACGGAUACUUGGUAUACAGCACGGCAAGAUGGAUACUUAUUAAUAAAUUCAUUAUGGCAACACGGACGCGUGAUAUACAGCACAACAACACGGAUACGUGAUAUACAGCACAAAACGGAUACUUGAUAUACAGCACGAAAAAGAGAUCCUCAACACCGAACAUAUUGCAGUUAUCGUAAUACACGCAUUCAUUCUACAUCAGGAGAAGUCAAGAUAUAUGUUGAGGAUAUGAUUUUCAGUCUUGCUGUGGUUACUGGCAUCCCAUGGUGCCCACGGUUACCUUUCGUUUUCAGAUAUGCGGACAAUUCUGAAGGAAAAAGUUUCGGUAGCCUCAAUGCACACACGUCAGAUAUAAGACCGCAAAACGCUCAAUCCAUCCCGACGUGGGCGCAUUGGAUGUUUUUCUUCAUUCAAGACUUUAAAAUAUACGACAUUGAGAAUAAAUUUGAAGUAAAUACAUUGGUUACUUACAGAUGGCAUAAUGGGACAAUUUCCUGGAAUAAAUCUCUUUUUUCAAUUGAGGAAGUAGAAAUGAAACGAUUUUCUGUAUGGAACCCAACUAUAUUGUUGAAAAAUACGUUAGGUGAAAAAUCGUAUUUGGGCAAUUUUUCUCAUAUGUUUUGGAUGACAAUAGAUUGGGGAGGUUCUGUCCAAAUAUUUGGGCAGUAUUUAUUCAAAACUCACUGUCAGGUUGAUAUGACAUAUUUUCCUUUUGACACCCAAGAAUGUUCGUUUGAAAUUACAAGCUGGUCCUCUGAAUUUCAGUUUGCACACGGCAAGUGCUUUAUAAAGAAUACUAAUUCAGAAUGGACCGAUGUCGAGUUAAUAAAUACUUUUUCGGAAACGUCAUUGGUGUGCACGGUCAGGGCAAACUGAAAACCGACAUUUCUCAUAAUAAAUCUCAUAAUACCAACUGUCCUAAUUGGAUUUUUGAACGUGUUUGUGUCUAUUGUUCCCUCUAAUGCCGGCGAGAAGUUACAAUACUCGGUGUCUAUUCUUCUAUCGUUCAAUGUGUACAUAGGCAUUCUCGUUGACCAUGUACCCGCCAACUCAGAUAAAAUGUCCGUACUAAGUUACUACAUCAUAUAUCAGUACAUAUUUGGUGUUGUUGUGAUUACUGUGACAACUAUUUUACUCCGGACCGUCCACAGCAACGACUGCAAAGACAUUCCCCCAAAAUGCUUAACUGUCGUAAAAAUUGUCGAUAUCAUCACCUGUAAAAUAAAUUGUUUGUUUGGGAGUGUUCGAGUUCGAGAUAGUGAAGACAACUACGAGGAAAAUGCAUCCAGCCAAUCAAAUAUUGUAAAUAAAGUCACAUUGGUUUCCGUGUGUGCGGCGUUCGACUUCCCGUUAUUCUGGUUGUUUCUUGUAGUUCAAGUAAUCGGUAAUCUUGGUUUCUUUAUAUUACUGAGAAAGAUGAAGUUAAAGGCAAAUAAGAAUUACAUGUAAUAUUGUUAAACUUAUUAAAUAUUGUUUAAAAGCUUACAAACUAGCAAAACGUGAAAUCAAACAAGAAAAAAAUAUAAUUGAAAAAAGGGUUUUUUCAAUGACGAUUUCUCUUAAACCCACUUGUAACGGGGGUGACGUUAAAAAUAAAAUUAACUUUUAACAGCCUUAGGUAUACUAAAAAUGGAUUUAUCUGUGUUAUGCUAACUUGUUCGACACACCUAGCUAGCCCGUUUUUUAUGCUUUUUAUGUACUUUUUAAUUUUCUUUUCUCCCUGUCAUGACAAUCAAAUAAAUUUCUACAAUCGU